GUUGGCCUGACGGAGAGAUCUUCCAGGCGGCUCCGGCCCAUGGAGGAUGCAGAGCAUCACAUCAGAUCAAACAUUGAUAAACCAGUACUUUACCAGCGUUUUAUCAAUAUCUUUAAAGGACGGGGAGUUUUUGCCACUGAAUUCAUAUCCAAAGGAGACUUUGUUGUGGAGUACCGAGGUGAACUGCUUACACAACAGGAGGGCGAGGUCCGAGCUGAUCAGUACAAUGAUUCUGCAAAGGUGUUUCUUUUCGAUUUCCAAUGGAAAGGAAGAACAUGGUGCAUUGAUGCAUCUGAAGAAGACUCCUCCCUUGGGAGACUCGUUAAUGAUGAUCACUAAAGACUCAAUCUCAAAAUGAAGGCCAUACAAGCAAACGAUGAGCCACACUUGUGCCUCUUCGCGACUCGAGAUAUUGCAGCUGGCGAAGAGUUGACUUAUAGUUACGGUGAUUCAGACUGGCCAUGGAGAACACAGGUCAUCAAAACUGAAUUGUCGUCCAGCCCAAAACCUGGUAAGAACUUUA